rnacentral:lncRNA from 1 species
AUGUGUUUGAGACGUGCUAAAUACGUGUUUGUUCAUGGAGGGAUACUUGAGCCUUUACAUGCUUUACGUGAUUCCAUUAUAUGUAGUCCUACUUAUUUUUGUAUGUCGCCUAGUAUUUUAACCUUUAAACUUAAGGAUUCAACCUAGUUCCAACCUUAUAGGAAUAACGAUCCUAAAUGCACUCUAGGAUAUAUAGGACGGGACGGGUAAUAGCACACAAUAAGCAUUCGUGACCAAUUCACACG